AUGAAAAUUUUACAAACUUAGCCGGACGGUACAUAAAAAUUUUAGGGGAAAUUUAAAACAUUUCAUAUUUAUAAUUGAAUUCUCCAGAAUUUAAACCCUAAACCUACAUUUUGGUUUAUCUUCUCCCUUCUCUCUCCUAUUGCGAUUUGGGUUUGGGUUCGUCUGGUUCAUGGGUUAGGGUUCGUCUGGUUCGUGGGUUGUUUGGGUUCGUCUGGUUAGUGGGUUUAGGUUCGUGGAUUUGGGUUCUUCUGGUUCGUGGGGGUGGUUUUAGGGGUUUCAGAUCUAGUUUGUGGGAGGUGGCGUGAGUUUCGUGGGGAUGGGCCGGGUCUUCGUGGUUGGUGGAUCUGAUUUCAUGGGUAGUUGUGGGUUUGGUUUCGUGGGAGUGGCGUGGGUGAUUUCGUGGUGGUGGCUUAAUUGGGAUUAAUUCAAUUUGUGGGUUUCGUGGGUGGUCUAGGUGGUGUCGAGUUUUGUGGUGGUGGGGGAUUAAUUCAAUUCGUGGUGGUGGUGGUCCGAUUGGGGUUUUCGUGGUUUUGGUGGUUGUUUCCGGUGGGUUCUGGGUUUUCGGUGGUGGUAAAUUACUUGUUAUUGCUAGAAAUGUUAAUACUUGUUGUUUUUGCUGUUUUAAGCUUCAAAUUUGCUGCAGGUUGAUUGAAUCUAUGAAAAAGACGUGUAGUUUUUGCUAAGUAUAUUUUGGGGCCAGUGCUAAGUCAAAUUCUAUGUUCAUUCUAAAAGUUAAAGUUGUUUGAUUAUUAUUGAAGAAAAUAGGGGAGGGGAUCAAAUGGGUUUACUUUAAGGAGGUAGAGCGGGAGGAAAGUGCUCAAUCAAGAAGAGAAGAACGAACAACAAGUGGAACAACCUUACAUAUGAAGAUUAAACUUUGUAAUGGUCUUGAUUGUCCAAGCUUGAAGAUUCUUGAUGCCAGUUUGAACUGAGACAACUGUAUAUUUUAAAUAGAGGUGGCCUGGUGAAAGUGGUGAUAAUGCAUAGUCCAUUUUUGUUUAAAAAGAUGUGAAGUGCACUUUGUAUUAUAAGCAGGCAUACAUUAGAUUUUUGUACUAUUAACUAUAUUAUGAGACAAUAUGAAUAGAAAUUUAAUAUAAAUUCUUUUGUACAAGUAUUUUAAUUAUGUAUUUAAUUUUGAAUCAUAUAUAAAUUAGUUGGACAGGGUUCUUUAGUUAAUACAAAGACAUUGAUGCUAAAGAGUGUCUAAUAUUUGAACGUUCCAAUACUAGAGCACUUUUGUUAUGUUGAAGCCUAUCUUUAGUAUCGGAAAUUUCCGAUACUAAAGGGAACUUUUGAAGCUAGGAAAAACUAUUGUAACUGUAAUUACAGAUACUAUAGUGAUUCUUUAGUAUCGGAAACCAAGUUGAUACUAAAGAUCUAACUCUUUUGUAUCGGAAUUUCUGUUACUAAUUAUCUGAUACUAGUUAUAUUUCCGAUACUAAAGGUACCCCUUUUUAGUAUCGGAUUGAAGAACGGAUACCAACACAUUAGCCACGGAGGUAUUAGUAUCCGUUUAGUGUCGGAAAUUAUUUCCGAUACUAAUGACCUUUGGUAUCGGAAAACAAGCUUUUAGUAUCGAUUAAUUUCUGAUACUAAAGACCGAUUUUCUAGUAGUGUAUGAUGCAAUUUUUUGUUCUGUUCCGAUGCAAUUUUUUUUUUGUCCUCUGCUUUUGUAUUAUUUGCUCUUGUUUUGCUGUUGCCCCCUCCCUCAUGCUGCUCCUCUACUUCUGCCUUCCUUUUGCUGCUACCUUGCUGCUUCCCCCUUCCCUUCUGCUAUUCCCCUGCUGCUGCCCCUUUCCUUUCUGUUGCUUCCCUGCUGGUUAUUAAACAUUCUUUUUCCUUUCAAUUUUUCUCCCUGACUCAGAUUUAGGCUACUGUCACAAAGAGGAAAGUAAAGGCAACUUUAAGUUCAGUUACAUGAGUUUGAAUUUCAUGACUGUCUUUAUUCUAAAUUAGAACUUCUAAAGCUGGUUAUUAAGGAUUGAAUUUAUACUAUCAGUAGCAGGAGGAGAUAGGUUAGGUGCAUAAAGUCGAGGAACUACUAAACUAGGAAGUAUUGUGGAUUUUUUUUCUUAAGAAAUUCUGAUUUCUGGAGCUCCCUCUCUUUGGAGACAUCUCUCAACUAGCUUUCACAAUGUGUAGUUAACUAAGCCUCAGCAUUAUAUCAACAUUUGUUUAUACUUCUUUUGGUGAAAUGGAAUGGUAUUUUUGCUGCUUUGGAAAAUAUAACUAUCUCAUGUGGUCCUUUAGGAUAAAGUCAGUAAUUUAGCAAGGAUACGAGAUACAGAAUUUGUUUAUUAUUUUUAUAGCAUUUAUGAAAUGCUUCCCCAACAUUGGUUUAUUAUUUUUACAACAUUUAUAUU